ACUCCUACGGGAGGCAGCAGUGGGGAAUAUUGCACAAUGGGGGAAACCCUGAUGCAGCCAUGCCGCGUGUGUGAAGAAGGCCUUCGGGUUGUAAAGCACUUUCAGUAGGGAGGAAGGUAGUGUAGUUAACACCUGCAUUAUUUGACGUUACCUACAGAAGAAGCACCGGCUAACUCCGUGCCAGCAGCCGCGGUAAUACGGAGGGUGCGAGCGUUAAUCGGAAUUACUGGGCGUAAAGCGCAUGCAGGCGGCUUGUUAAGUCAGAUGUGAAAGCCCGGGGCUUAACCUCGGAAUUGCAUUUGAAACUGGCAGGCUAGAGUCUUGUAGAGGGGUUAGAAUUUCAGGUGUAGCGGUGAAAUGCGUAGAGAUCUGAAGGAAUACCAGUGGCGAAGGCGGCCCCCUGGACAAAGACUGACGCUCAGAUGCGAAAGCGUGGGAGCAAACAGGAUUAGAUACCCCGUGGUAGACUGUCA
rnacentral:rRNA from 1 species